rnacentral:rRNA from 1 species
GGGACACGUGGUAUCCUGUCUGAAUAUGGGGGGACCAUCCUCCAAGGCUAAAUACUCCUGACUGACCGAUAGUGAACCAGUACCGUGAGGGAAAGGCGAAAAGAACCCCGGCGAGGGGAGUGAAAAAGAACCUGAAACCGUGUACGUACAAGCAGUGGGAGCACGCUUAGGCGUGUGACUGCGUACCUUUUGUAUAAUGGGUCAGCGACUUAUAUUCUGUAGCAAGGUUAACCGAAUAGGGGAGCCGAAGGGAAACCGAGUCUUAACUGGGCGUUAAGUUGCAGGGUAUAGACCCGAAACCCGGUGAUCUAGCCAUGGGCAGGUUGAAGGUUGGGUAACACUAACUGGAGGACCGAACCGACUAAUGUUGAAAAAUUAGCGGAUGACUUGUGGCUGGGGGUGAAAGGCCAAUCAAACCGGGAGAUAGCUGGUUCUCCCCGAAAGCUAUUUAGGUAGCGCCUCGUGAAUUCAUCUCCGGGGGUAGAGCACUGUUUCGGCAAGGGGGUCAUCCCGACUUACCAACCCGAUGCAAACUGCGAAUACCGGAGAAUGUUAUCACGGGAGACACACGGCGGGUGCUAACGUCCGUCGUGAAGAGGGAAACAACCCAGACCGCCAGCUAAGGUCCCAAAGUCAUGGUUAAGUGGGAAACGAUGUGGGAAGGCCCAGACAGCCAGGAU